GACGAACGCUGGCGGCGUGCUUAACACAUGCAAGUCGAGCGAUGAAGCACCUUCGGGUGUGGAUUAGCGGCGAACGGGUGAGGAACACGUGAGGACUCUGCCUUCCACUCUGGGAUAACUCCGGGAAACCGGGGCUAAUACCGGAUACUUUCAACUUGCGGCAUCGCAGGUUGAAGAAAGUUGUUCGGUGGAAGAUGACCCCGCGGCCUAUCAGCUUGUUGGUGAGGUAAUGGCUCACCAAGGCGACGACGGGUAGCCGGCCUGAGAGGGCGACCGGCCACACUGGGAAUGAGACACGGCCCAGACUCCUACGGGAGGCAGCAGUGGGGAAUAUUGGGCAAUGGAGGAAACUCUGACCCAGCGACGCCGCGUGAGGGAUGAAGGCCUUCGGGUUGUAAACCUCUUUCAGCAGGGAAUAAGCGAAAGUGAAGGUACCUGCAGAAGAAGCACCGGCUAACUACGUGCCAGCCGCCGCAGUAA
rnacentral:rRNA from 1 species